CAAACAUCAAACUGUUCCUGUCAGGCCUGGUGUUCAACAUCAAACUGUUCCUGUCAGGCCAGGUGUUCAACAUCAAACUGAUCCUGUCAGGCCAGGUGUUCAACAUCAAACUGAUCCUGUCAGGCCAGGUCUUCAACAUCAAACAUCAAACUGUCCCUGUCAGGCCAGGUGUUCAACAUCAAACUGAUCCUGUCAGGCCAGGUGUUCAACAUCAAACUGAUCCUGUCAGGCCAGGUGUUCAACAUCAAACAUCAAACUGUUCCUGUCAGGCCAGGUGUUCAACAUCAAACUGUCCCUGUCAG
ensembl:lncRNA